ensembl:lncRNA
UGUGGCCUCUCUCCCAGUUUUGAAACAAGGCAGCUCAUUGGUCCUGGCAAAUCUAUGCCAAUGGAGCACACCCAGAGCAGAAGUUCUACUUCACCCUUAUCAGGCCUGCCGAGAAACUGCAUUUCACUGGCCUUUGUAAGAGAUCUUCCCGGUAGGCUGUAAGAGCCCUGGGCAGAGUGAGUUGGUUCUUAGCUUCCCAGAGAGCUGGAAGCAAGAUGCUUUGGGGCCUCUCUGCCCCUUUCCAAACAAGGCAGCCUUUUGGGUCUGGAAGCUCUAGGCCAAUGUAGCACACCCAGAGCAGAGGUUCUACUUCAGCCAGAUCAGGCCUGCCAAGGAACUGCUUUUCAGAGGCCUUUGUAUUUGACAUUCCCGGUAGGCUGUGAGAGCAUGGUGCAUAGCCAGUUGUUUCCUUGUUUCGCAAACAGCUGGAAGCAAGACGCUUUGGGGCCUCUCUGCCCCUUUGGAAACAAGGCAGCACUUUGGGCCUGGCAGCUCUAGGUCAAUGGAGCACACCCAGAGCAGAAGUUCUACUUCAGCCAGGUCAGGGCUGCCAAGAAACUGCGUUUCACAGGCCUUUCAAAGAGAUGUUCUCUUAGGCUGUAAUAGCACGGGGCAGAGCCAGCUGUUUCUUAGCUUCCCGAAGAGCUGGGAGCAAGAUACUUUGGGGACCCUUUCCCCUUUUGGAAACAAGGCCGCCCUUGCGGCCUUGCAGCUCUAGGCCAAUGUAGCACACACAAAGCAGAAUUUCUACUUCAGCCAAAUCAGGCCUGCUAGGAAACUGCGUAUCACAGGAGUUGGUAAGAGAUGUUCAUGGUAGGCUGUAAGAGCACUGGGCAGAGCCAGCUGUUUCUUAGCUUCCCGAAGAGCUGGAAGGAAGAUGCUUUGGGGCCUCUCUGCCCCUUUCCAAACAAGGCAGCCCUUUGGGCCGGCAGCAGAUCUAGGCCAAUGGAGCACACCCAGAGCAGAAUUUCUACUUCAGCCCAUCAGGCCUGCUAGGAAACUGCGUAUCACGGGCCUUGGUAAGAGAUGUUCCCGGUAGGCUGUAAGAGCACUGGGCACAGCCAGUUGUUUCUUAGCUUCCCGAACAGCUGGAAGCAGGAUGCUUUGGGACCUCUCUGCCCCUUUGCAAACAAGGCGGCCUUUUGGGCCUGGCAGCUCAAGGACGAUGGAGCACACCCAGAGCAGAAGUUCUACUUCAGCCAGAUCAGGCCUGCCAAGAAACUGCGUUUCACAGGCCUUUGUAAAAGAUGUUCCCGGUAGGCUGUAAGAGCACUGGGCAGAGCCAGUUGUUUCUUACAUUCCUGAAAAGCUGGAAGCAAGAUGCUUGGGACCCCUCUGCCCGUUUGGGAACAAGGCAGCCUUUUGGGUCGGGAAGCUCUAGGCCAAUGGAGCACACGCAGAGCAGAAGUUCUACUUCACCCUGAUCAGGCCUGCAAAGAAACAGCGUUUGACAGGCCUUGGUAAGAGAUGUUCCCGGUAGGUGUAAGAGCACUGGGCAGAGCCAGUUGUUUCUUAGCUUCGCAAAGACCGGGAAGCAAGAUGCUUUGGGCCUCUCUGCCCCUUGGAAACAGGGCAGCACUUUGGGCCUGGCAGCUCUAGGGCAAUGGAGCACACCCAGAGCCGGAGUUCUACUUCAGCCAGAUGAGGCCUGCCAAGAAACUGCGUUUCACAGGCCUUUCAAAGACAUGUUCCCGGUAGGCUGUAAGAGCACGGGGCAGAGCGAGUUGGUUCUUAGCUUCCCAGAGAGCUGGAAGCAAGAUGCUUUGGGGCCUCUCUGCCCCUUUGGAAACAAGGCAGCACCUUGGGCCUGGCAGCUCUAGGGCAAUGGAGCACACCCAGAGCAGAAGUUCUACUUCAGCCAAAUCAGGCCUGCCAGGAAACGGCGUUUCACAGGCCUUGGUAAGAGAUGUUCCCGGUAGGCUGUAAGAGCACUGGGCAACGCCAGAUGUUUCUUAGCUUCCCGAAGAGCUGGAAGCAAGAUGCUUUGGUGCCACUCUCUCACUUUGGAAUCAAGGCAGCCCUUUGCGCCAGGCAGCUCUAGGCCAAUGGAGCACACCCAGAGCAGAAGUUCUACUUCGGCCAGUUCAGGCCACCAACAAACUGCGUUUCACAGGCCUUGGUAAGAGAUGUUCCCGGUAGGCUGUAAGAGCACUGGGCAGAGCCAGUUGUUUCUUAGCUUCCCAAAGAGCUGGAAGCAAGAUGCUUUGGGGGCUCCCUGCCCCUUUGCCAACAAGGCCGACCUUUGGGCCAGGCAGCUCUAGGCCAAUGGAGCACACCCAGAGCAGAAGUUCUACCUCAGCCAGAUAAGGCCUGCCAAGAAACUGCGUUUCAAAGGCUUUGGUAAGAGAUGUUCCCGGUACUCUGUUAGAGCACUGGGCAGAGCCAUUUGUUUCUUAGCUUCCCAAAGAGCUGGAAGCAAGAUGCUUUGGGGGCUCCCUGCCCCUUUGCCAACAAGGGCGACCUUUGGGCCUUUCAGCUCUAGGCCAAUGGAGCACACCCAGAGCAGAAGUCCUACUUCAGCCAGAUCAGGCCUGCCAAGGAACUGCGUUUCAGAGGCCUUUGUAUGUGACGUUCCCGGUAGGCUGUGAGAGCACGGUGCAGAGCCAGUUGUUUCCUUGUUUCCCAAACAGCUGGAAGCAAGACGCUUUGGGGCCUCUCUGCCCCUUUGGAAACAAGGCAGCCCUUUGGGCCUGGCAGCUCUAGGGCAAUGGAGCACACCCAGAGCAGAAGUUCUACUUCAGCCAGAUCAGGCCUGCCAAGAAACUGCGUUUCACAGGCCUUUCAAAGAGAUGUUCUCUUAGGCUGUAAGAGCACUGGGCAGAGCCAGUUGUUUCUUAGCUUCCCAAAGAGCUGGAAGCAAGAUGCUUUGGGGGCUCCCUGCCCCUUUGCCAACAAGGCCGACCUUUGGGCCUUUCAGCUCUAGGCCAAUGGAGCACACCCAGAGCAGAAGUUCUACCUCAGCCAGAUAAGGCCUGCCAAGAAACUGCGUUUCAAAGGCUUUGGUAAGAGAUGUUCCCGGUACUCUGUCAGAGCACUGGGCAGAGACAGUUGUUUCUUAGCUUCCCAAAGAGCUGGAAGCAAGAUGCUUUGGGGCCUCUCUGCCCCUUUGCAAACAAGGCAUCCCUUUGGGCCUUUCAGCUCUAGGCCAAUGGAGCACACCCAGAGCAGAAGUCCUACUUCAGCCAGAUCAGGCCUGCCAAGGAACUGCGUUUCAGAGGCCUUUGUAUGUGACGUUCCCGGUAGGCUGUGAGAGCACGGUGCAGAGCCAGUUGUUUCCUUGUUUCCCAAACAGCUGGAAGCAAGACGCUUUGGGGCCUCUCUGCCCCUUUGGAAACAAGGCAGCACGUUGGGUCUGGCAGCUCUAGGGCAAUGGAGCACAACCAGAGCAGAAGUUCUACUUCUUCCAGAUCAGGCCUGCCUAGAAAGUGCGUUUCACAGGCCUUGAUAAGAGAUGUUCUCUUAGGCUAUAAGAGCACUGGGCACAGCCAGUUGUUUCUUAGCUUCCCAAGAGGUGGAAGCAAGAUGCUUUGGGGCCUCUCUCCCCCUUUGGAAACAAGGCAGCCCUUUGGGCCUUUCAGCUCUAGGGCAAUGGAGCACACCCAGAGCAGAAGUUCUACCUCAGCCAGAUCAGGCCUGCCAAGAAACUGCUUUUCACAGGCCUUCGUAAGAGGUGUUCCCGGAAGGCUGUAAGAGUACCUGGCAGAGCGAGUUGUUUCUUAGCUUCAAAAACAGCUGGAAGCAACAUGAUUUGGGGCCUCUCUCCCCCUUUGGAAACAAAGCAGCCUUUGUGCCUGGCAGCUCUAGGCCAAAGUAGCACACCCAGAGCACAAGUUCUACCUCAGCCAGAUAAGGCCUGUCAAGAAGCUGCGUUUCACAGGCCUUUGUAUGUGACGUUCCCGGUUGGCUUUGAGAGCACUGUGCAGAGCCAGUUGUUUUAGCUUCCCAGAGAGCAGGAAGCAAGAUGCUUUGGGGCCUCUCUCACACUUUGGAAAUAAAGGCAGCCCUUUGGGCCUGGCAGCCCUAGGCCAAUGGAGUACACCCAGAGCAGAAGUUCUACCUCAGCCAGAUCAGGCCUUCCAAGAAACUGCGUCUCACAGGCCUUUCUCUGUCACGUUGCCGGUAGGCUGUGAGAGCACUGUGCAGAGCCAGUUGUUUCUUAGCUUCCCAAAGAUUUGGAAGCAAGAUACUUUGGGGACUCUCAGCCCCUUUGGAAACAAGGCGGCCCUUUGGGCCUGGCAGCUCUAGGCCAAAGUAGCACGCCCAGAGCAGGAGUUCUACUUCAGCCAGAUCAGGCCUGCCAAGAAACUGCGUUUCACAGGCCUUGGUAAGAGAUG